GGCUGCAACCCGCCUGCAUGAAGUUGGAAUUGCUAGUAAUGGCAGGUCAGCAUACUGCCGUGAAUACGUUCCCGGGCCUUGUACACACCGCCCGUCACACCAUGAGAGUUGGAAAUACCCGAAGCCUGUGAGCUAACAGUAAUGAGGCAGCAGUCGAAGGUAGAGCCAAUGAUUGGGGUGAAGUCGUAACAAGGUACC
rnacentral:rRNA from 1 species